rnacentral:pre_miRNA from 1 species
CUAAUACUCCCUCCGUCCCGAAUUACUUGUCUUGGAUUUUUCUAGAUAAGGAUGUAUCCAGACACGUUUUAGUGUUAGAUACAUCCGUAUCUAGACAAAUCAAAGACAGGUAAUUUGGGACGGAGGUAAUAGAAC